rnacentral:lncRNA from 1 species
AAAUGAUAUAAAAAGAAUAUUACCAACUUUCGAGUACCCAAACUAGGUGGUUCAUGCUUCACGCAAUCAUUCAAAAUUAGUGGUAAAUUUAACAUAUUACAAGACUUGGGCUUACACACCCCAAAAGAACAAAACAUAGAGUCAUACUUAUAUUACAACCCAUGGUGACAUGAUCACAUUAGUCCUCAAAAUUUCAUGUAAAUAUACACCACAUAGAUCAUGUACAAGUCCCAAGGUUUAUACAAAAUAUAGAUGCCUAUAUGCAAAUGUGAUCUUCC